rnacentral:misc_RNA from 1 species
AUAAUGUUUGAAGUCUCGAAAGAGACUGAAAUCUGACUUUGUGGUAUAAAUGAAAGAAAUCUUGGGUUUAAAGAUGAUGUUUUUGAAAAAAGGCAUCGACCCAAAACUUUUUAUCAACUCUUUAAUAUUUGACUGAAAUUAUCAAGUAAUCGAAAGAUUAAAAAAGUUUAAA